AGAGCUCAUUCAGAGAUUGAUAGAUUGAUAGAUUCUUGUUGUCUCGAAUAAUUAAGGGCUACGGGGAGAAUGCGGCUACCACUUUCUCUGGAAGUUCAUUCCACACAGGCUCGUGUGUUAUAGUGACAGGCAGCUGGAAGCUCGGGCUGUGUUUUUGCAGCAGAACGUAGAUCAUCAGUCGCCAUUUCCGCCACCUCCACUGAGAUGCUGCCAGACACAGGAUAUUAAAUCAGAAUAAUUGAGGCUAGAAACUCAAAAGCAAGUUUUUACAGUCAAUGGAGUCAUCGGGAUCUGAAUAUCAUUUGCAUUUGACUGUGGACGGAGAAAGGAUGAGGCUGUCACUGGCUCGGCCAGCAUUUAUUGCUGCGUUUACCCAGUGGGCAGUUAAGAAUCAACCACGUUGCUAUAGGUCUGGAGUCCCAUGCAGACCAGACCAGAUCCCAGUGAUCAGUGCCAAAGCCCCAUUGCCUGUGGAGAGGGUGAUGUUUGAUUUCCCUGUCCAGCUGCAGUUCAUGUGGUGAAGGUGCUCCCACAAUGUGGUUGGGUGGACAUUCAGAUGGUAAUCUCAGUAAUUGUAACGCCAAACUGUGACAAAAUUACUCAAUUCAUCAGGAGCUGGAU